GGAGAGAUGGCUGAGCUGGUCUAAGGCGCACGACUGGAAAUCGUGUUACGGUUAAUAGCCGUACGAGGGUUCGAAUCCCUCUCUCUCCGCCA
rnacentral:tRNA from 1 species